rnacentral:tRNA from 1 species
GGAUCAGUACUCAAGAAGCUUUAAGAAGAUAUGUUGGAAAAGUAUUAAGGGUUCAAGAAAACCCGCUCAGGUUCAAAACCUGUCUGAUCCG